rnacentral:rRNA from 1 species
AGAGUUUGAUCAUGGCUCAGAACGAACGCUGGCGGCAUGCCUAACACAUGCAAGUCGAACGGGAUCCAGACUUCGGUCUGGUGAGAGUGGCGGACGGGUGAGUAACGCGUGGGAACCUGCCCAAUGGUCUGGGAUAACCGCGGGGAAACUGCGGCUAAUACCGGAUAAGCCCGAGAGGGGGAAAGAUUUAUCGCCGAUGGAGGGGCCCGCGUCCGAUUAGGUAGUUGGUGGGGUAAUGGCCUACCAAGCCUACGAUCGGUAGCUGGUCUGAGAGGAUGAUCAGCCACACUGGGACUGAGAUACGGCCCAGACUCCUACGGGAGGCAGCAGUGGGGAAUAUUGGACAAUGGGGGCAACCCUGAUCCAGCAAUGCCGCGUGAGUGAUGAAGGCCUUAGGGUUGUAAAGCUCUUUUGCCAGGGACGAUGAUGACGGUACCUGGAGAAUAAGCCCCGGCUAACUUCGUGCCAGCAGCCGCGGUAAUACGAAGGGGGCGAGCGUUGUUCGGAAUUACUGGGCGUAAAGGGCGCGUAGGCGGCGAUCCGAGUCAGAUGUGAAAGUCCUGGGCUUAACCUGGGGACUGCAUUUGAUACUGGAUUGCUUGAAUUCGGGAGAGGAUAGCGGAAUUCCCAGUGUAGAGGUGAAAUUCGUAGAUAUUGGGAAGAACACCGGUGGCGAAGGCGGCUAUCNNNACGACAUUGACGCUGAGGCGCGAAAGCGUGGGGAGCAAACAGGAUUAGAUACCCUAGUAGUCC